UACGUAGGGGGCAAGCGUUGUCCGGAUUUAUUGGGCGUAAAGAGCGUGUAGGCGGCCAGGUAGGUCAGCUGUGAAAACUCGAGGCUCAACCUCGAGACGUCGGUUGAAACCACCUGGCUAGAGUCCGGAAGAGGAGAGUGGAAUUCCCUGGUGUAGCGGUGAAAUGCGCAGAUAUCAGGAAGAACACCCGUGGCGAAGGCGGCUCUCUGGGACGGUACUGACGCUGAGACGCGAAAGCGUGGGGAGCGAACAGG
rnacentral:rRNA from 1 species